CCGGCACGGGUGAGUAACACGUAUCCAACCUGCCGUCUACUCUUGGACAGCCUUCUGAAAGGAAGAUUAAUACAAGAUGGCAUCAUGAGUCCGCAUGUUCACAUGAUUAAAGGUAUUUUCCGGUAGACGAUGGGGAUGCGUUCCAUUAGAUAGUAGGCGGGGUAACGGCCCACCUAGUCAACGAUGGAUAGGGGUUCUGAGAGGAAGGUCCCCCACAUUGGAACUGAGACACGGUCCAA
rnacentral:rRNA from 1 species